UGGAAUGAAAACAAAAUUGUGAUUGGAGAAGCUAAAAGUGACAGUUAUAGCAAAGGGUUUAAAUUGUCUGAAAGACAGAUGCCUGAACUUUUGUUGUUGUCUGCCAUGACCUUACGAUAUAACAUGAAGGAAAACAACAUAAGCACUUUAAAGAUACUAUGUUAGUGCUGUCCAUUUUUCAAAGCCACAGUGACUAUAAAUCCCCAUACCAAAAAUCCAUGUGGAUCAAGCUAUUGUUUGGAUAUAGUUGGGGGUAUAAGAAUCUCAUUUAAACAGAACUCUGGCAUGCAAGCAUUUCCUUAGUUUGUGAUAUUCUGCCCAAGAGCAGAAUGCAUGAAAAGCAUGUUACAAGUCAUGAGAAAGUUUUGACAGUGUGGGCAAUGGCACUUCAUGAAUUUCUACAAGAUUUCUGUCUUGUACUAGUGAACCAUCUGACUAUUGAAGUCAAAGAACUCAGAAGUGAUCAAAAUGCUCCAAGAGACAAAUAAAGUAGAAAACUCCCCUCUCCUUCACUGAAAUUUUGCAUGCCUCACUGUUUAGGUAAAAUACCAGACAAACCAAUCCCAAAGAGCAUUAAAAGGUAUCUGAGAAGGCUUUUAGCUUUUCUGAGUUCAUAUGUCAUGAAGCUAUCAGUCUGUACUAAGAAAAGAGAAACUUAUUUUCUUCUUCUGGGACAACUGUCCUUUCCAUGCAGGUGCAAAAGGAAGUGGGGAGAGAGAGCAAAUAUUUGCCCUUCUUACAACAACUUACUCCAAUUUUCUAAGCAAAGAAGCAAGACGAAGAAUUUUCACCUGCUGCUUCUAAAGAAUGUCUCCUGACACUUCCUCAGAAGAGUGGGAGGUCCCUGAACCUUAAGGAAGAGAAGACAGUAAGGGGGUAAGGCAAGGAGUGACAGCAGAUAAAGUUACAGAAUGGGAGAACAGGUUCAUAACGAAGUGGCAGCGAGAGAAUAUGAGAUUCCCUGUUCUGGUGACAGCAAAAAGGAACUCUUCCUUCCUGAUCCUGAAACUCAGAACAAAGGACCAAGUCCCUUUGACUUCACCAGGAGCACACCAGAAGAAUUUUCUCCUUACUAGAAAAGUUCAUGUCAUUCA